CUCCCUCUCAUGCGCGUUAUUUGCAACAAGUACUCUGUCAUCCAGUAAAAUAUCUGUUAUUACCAGCUUAAUAUCUGUUACGUUUUGCAUCACAGGACUAGAAUAUUAAACUCAUUUUUGGCUCAUGACGAAAAGCUAUGAGUGUAUUUUACCUAUGUCACAGCGUGCCUCCACACUUCAAAUGGUUCAAAUGGCCCUAA